CAUGAGACACGCCCUCCAGUGCGCCAUGUCAGUUAACGGUUGCCAUGGCAAUACCUGGGUGCUACUGCCCCUUUCCAUGGCAACCACCCCACUACCCAAGAGUUACUACUCUUUCCCUAGAAGGCGAGCCCACCGCACACGAGGACUGUGCCAGGGCGGGGUCCGAGAUGUGUGGGGCUGUCUGCAGCCUUGAGGGCAUCGUGGGCACAGUGCAGACUCGGACACAGGUGGCAGCGCCGGGCGCUCAGAGCUGAGGAUGGAUCCAGGAGAUGCUGACACCAGCUGAGCUCCUGCUAUGAAAAGGCUGAGGCUUGGUGCCAAGGGCUUCCCACAGAUCUGGGAAAGAGGAGGAAUCGUUGUCACCCAGGCAGUCAGGGGAGGCUUCCCGGAAGAGGUGAUCGGGGAACUGGGCUUUGAAGGAUGAGGAUGCCCACACCUCACCAGGCAGCAAAACCCAGAGGUAGUGAUGCAGCUUGCGAGCUGUGCCGGGGUGAAUGCCGCUGGA